UCUGGACUGGAGGGGACAUUUUAAAGCCUGGUUAGUGCACUCACUCAGGAGCUUUACCUAGUAACAUUUUUAAAACAGUCAAUUGAAUAUUACUACUUAAUCCUACUGACAUUUUAAAGACUCUGUUUAUUCACAAUUGUCUUGGCCUGUUCUGAUGUGAGAUGGCAUGCUCCAAAGGUAAUUGGUAUGGUUGCUUUAGAAGACCAGCUGUUUCAUCUAAACAUAUACCUGCCUUAGGACCCAGAAAUUCCUAUCCUAGGAGUAUGUCCAAAAGAAUGAAAUCCUAUAUUCACGCAAAAAAAUCUGUGCACAACUGUUCGUAGCAGCUUUAUUUGCAAUGAUCAAAAGCUGGAAGCCAUUCAGAUAUCAACAGAUGAACAGAAAACAAACUCAUAUUCACACAAUGGAAUACUGUUCAACAAUAACGGGAAUGAACUGCUGAAUGAAAUACUCGACACGUGAAUGAAUCUCAAGGAUAGCUGCAGAGUGAAAGAAGCCUGACGCAAAUCAGUUCACACUGUGUGAUUCCUUUUAUAUGAAGUUCAAGACACGACACAACUGAUCUGUGGUGAAAACAGUGAGCACAGUGGUUCCCUGUGACGGAAUGGGAAUACGCGGGAACAUCUUGUGUGAUGAACAUGUUCUGUAUCCUCUAAUGACCAGUGAUGUAAAAUCCAGCAAGUGGAGAGAUGACUUCUAAGGAGAUUUCGAUUAUUCUGUGUGGGUGCAAAGCACAGCUGUUUUCUGUGUUUAGAAUGCCUCCUACUGACCAUGCUGGAGUUUCCGCUCCCUCUCCAAAAUUUGUCGGAGUAUGGGACCAAAUCUGGACCAUGCGAGACAGAGUUGGCACAGUAUUACUUUGGGCCUGUCACACAAGUUCAUCUGGAGGAGCAAAGAGCUGCCCAGAGCUGAGAAAAGAGCUGCACAGGAUCCCCAAACAAAGAUGCAUCCACAAGACACAUGGGAUACCAAGUUGGUGAGGAGAAGACUCGUGCCAAGCAAAGGCAUAUUCUUAUUUGAAUCUUCAAACUGAUCAUACAGCCCUAGGAUAGAUGGUCAUUCAGUCAAACGCCAAUACUUACUGAGCAUCUACUAGAAGCCAGAAACUGUUCUAUACACUAGGAAUACAGAAUGGAACAAAAUAGACAUCUUGCAUUCCAGAGUGGGGAGACAGCAAGUAAUAAAAAGUCCCGGAGGCUGGGAAGUCUACGAUUAAGAUGCUGGCAAGUUUGAUGUCUGGUGAUGGCUGCUCUCUGCUUCCAAGAUGGUGUCUUGUCGCUGCAUCCUCUGGAAGCUGGGCAGCCUGCGACUGGGUAAUCUGUCAGGUGAGGGUCAUCAAGGUGAUCAGGCUGAGAGCAGGGACCAGAUGCAAAGCGAGAGAGGCGAAGAAGCCCCGUGCCGGGGUCGGGGGCGAGCGGUGGGCGGUCCGAAGGGCACCGCCCCUGCGGGUCACGUGCUCGCCGGCCACCAAUGGCCGCCUCCGAGCCCACCUUGGGGACGGGGCGGGGCGCCUGGCUGGCGUCACCAGGACAACGGGCGUCGCCGGCGCCGUGUGACUUCGGGCUGUGGGCUUGCUCGCGGCUCUUCGGCCAUGGUUUUCUCAAACAAUGAUGAAGGCCUUAUUAACAAAAAGUUACCCAAAGAACUUCUCUUAAGAAUAUUUUCCUUCUUGGAUAUAGUAACUUUGUGCCGAUGUGCACAGAUUUCCAAGGCUUGGAACAUCUUAGCCCUGGAUGGAAGCAACUGGCAAAGAAUAGAUCUUUUUAACUUUCAAACAGAUGUAGAGGGUCGAGUGGUGGAAAAUAUCUCGAAGCGAUGUGGUGGAUUCCUGCGGAAGCUCAGCUUGCGAGGCUGCAUUGGUGUCGGGGAUUCCUCCUUGAAGACCUUUGCACAGAACUGCCGAAACAUUGAACAUUUAAACCUCAAUGGAUGCACAAAAAUCACUGACAGCACGUGUUAUAGCCUUAGCAGAUUCUGUUCCAAGCUGAAGCAUCUGGAUCUGACCUCCUGUGUGUCUAUUACAAACAGCUCCUUGAAGGGGAUCAGUGAGGGCUGCCGAAACCUGGAAUACCUGAACCUCUCUUGGUGUGACCAGAUCACAAAGGAUGGCAUCGAGGCACUGGUGCGAGGUUGUCGAGGCCUGAAAGCCCUGCUCCUGAGGGGCUGCACACAGUUAGAAGAUGAAGCUCUGAAACACAUUCAGAAUUACUGCCAUGAGCUCGUGAGCCUCAACCUACAGUCCUGCUCACGCAUCACGGAUGAAGGUGUGGUGCAGGUGUGCAGGGGCUGUCACCGGCUGCAGGCCCUCUGCCUCUCGGGUUGCAGCAACCUCACAGAUGCCUCCCUUACAGCCCUGGGUCUGAACUGCCCGCGACUGCAAAUUUUGGAGGCUGCCCGAUGCUCCCACUUGACUGACGCAGGUUUUACACUUUUAGCUCGGAAUUGCCACGAAUUGGAGAAGAUGGAUCUUGAAGAAUGCAUCCUGAUAACCGACAGCACGCUCAUCCAGCUCUCCAUUCACUGUCCCAAACUGCAAGCCCUGAGCCUGUCCCACUGUGAACUCAUCACAGACGAUGGGAUCCUGCACCUGAGCAACAGCACCUGUGGCCAUGAGAGGUUGCGGGUACUGGAGCUGGACAACUGCCUCCUCAUCACUGAUGUGGCCCUGGAACACCUAGAGAACUGCCGAGGCCUGGAGCGCCUUGAGCUGUAUGACUGCCAGCAGGUUACCCGUGCAGGCAUCAAGCGGAUGCGGGCUCAGCUCCCUCAUGUCAAAGUCCACGCCUACUUUGCUCCCGUCACCCCACCAACAGCAGUGGCAGGAAGUGGACAGCGACUGUGCAGGUGCUGUGUCAUUCUCUGACAGCAGCUGCCUGAGCCCAAGGGGUGAUGCAUCCUUUCCUCUAGAAGACAUGAAUCUUCCUGACCUACUCCACCAUCACCCAAUCUGUUGAUUCUCCAUUGGGAAAGGCAUUUACAGACACCCAUCAAGAUUUAAGAAUGGCAAAGACAAGAAAGGAUUUAUAAGCAACAUCUGACAUCACAUGGUGACCUGAACCAUGGCUCUGACCUAGCUAGUGCUCUUUUUGUCCUCUUCCCUUCUGAGUAGCCUCACCAGUACCCAUGUCGCUUCUCUGAUACCUCUAAAAGAUUAACAAUUCUCAAGACAGACGAGACAGGCCCAGCAUCAAGAUAUAUCAACUGUGUACAGUAUUUCCUCUAUCUACUGUCUGUCUAUGUUUUAUAUUUUCUGGAAGAGUUAUGAUGAACUUUAAUAUUUUUCAGCUCCAGGCAAAAUUCCAACCCAAAACGGAACAAAGACAUGGAGAUACACUAAGUAUUACAAUUAGGAGAGCUGACAAAGUCAAAGUCAAAAGCAUGCUAAGCACACCAGGGUAAUCUCAAAUACAAGUCUUCAGACCUCAGAUAUAGACAUCACAUGAAAUGAUUUCACUCUACAGGUAUUCUUUCUUAACACCAAUGGAUCUGAGCACUUGGUUUCAAGGGUCCCCUUUCAUAACAUCCUUCUCUCAUUUUACACAAGAAAGGUAUCACAUCUAACCAUAGCCCUGGGGUAUAAGACUCUCCCAGGCUGGACAUGGUGACUCAUGCCACUAAUCCCAGUACUUUGGAAGGCUACGGUGAGAGGAUAGCUUGAGCCCAGGAGUUAAAAGACCAGGCUGGGCAAUAUAGUGAGACCCUGUUUCUACCAAAAAUAUUAAAAUAAUAAAUAUAAUGAAGAAAGACUCUCGAAAAGCCAAGCUAAAGAUACUAGGAUUAAAAAAAAAAAUAGCCAGGUGUGGUGGUAUACACCUGUAGUCAUAGCCACUUGGAAGGCUAAGGCAGGAGAAUGGCAUGAACCCAGGAAGGAGAGGCUGCAGUGAGCCAUGACUGUACCACUGCACUCCAGCUUGGGCAACAGAGUGAGACCCCCAUUUCCAAGAAAACAAAUUAUUAAAAAAAAAAAGAGAAAGAAAGAAAGAAAAAAUACGUAACUCUAAUGACUGAGUUUUUCUAUAAGUCAGGUAGGUAACUUUCAAUUCUUUGCUUUCAAAAUAAUUCAGGAGGACCUACUGUCAACUGACAUAUACUGAAAUAAUAUACUAGAUCAUACAAAAAUGGCUCUGGGAUUUUUGACAGACAAUUCAAAAAGACCUGAAUGACACUGCUGAAGAAAAAUUAACCCAAAAUUUCUCACAUCUAUAAAAUUCUAGAAGUUAUGUUCUACCCUGCCUCCUCAUUCAAGAUGCAUUUCCGAUGCAUUCUAUUUUUACAUUUAAUAAAUAUUUAUCAAAAUCUGUAUGAUUUGCUGUUUUUGAUAAAUUGCUAUUAAUAAGUUUUAAAUUUCUUGACUGACUUAAGAGGCAAUGGCCACAGGAAAUUUU